UACGUAGGGUGCGAGCGUUGUCCGGAAUUAUUGGGCGUAAAGAGCUCGUAGGCGGUCUGUCGCGUCGAUCGUGAAAACUUGGGGCUUAACCCUGAGCUUGCGGUCGAUACGGGCAUGACUGGAGUUCGGCAGGGGAGACUGGAAUUCCUGGUGUAGCGGUGAAAUGCGCAGAUAUCAGGAGGAACACCGGUGGCGAAGGCGGCCCACUGGUCCGGUACUGACGCUGAGGUGCGAAAGCGUGGGGAGCAAACAGG
rnacentral:rRNA from 1 species